AUGUCGGCGAAGAAGGGGCUCUCGAGCACGCUGCGGAACCUCAAGUUUAUGCAGCGGGCGGCGGUGGCGCAGAAGAUUGAGGACAAGGCCGAUGUGGAGGUGGAGGAGCCGGCGGCCGAGGUGGUGAUGACGCCGGCGGCCAACGGUGGAGGGGUCGGCUCGUCGGUCCAGGUCGCCAGGAAGUGUGUAGUUGUCAUGGAGGGUAAUCCGCUUCCAGGAGCUGUAAAGGGUCGAAUGUCAUUCCAAAAUUUCAAUCCAUCCAUUGAUAAACUAAAUGACGAGGCAAGUGGUCGGCCAACACAAUCAGCUUCACCUAGUAAUUCUCAACAAGACAGUGCAAAUACCAGCAGAGUGGAUGAUAUAUCAGCAUCAAGAUUUAGAAGCUUCAAUGUUGAUAGUUCAGAAAGCAUAUCUCUGAAUGAGUUGAAGAGAAAAGAGCCUGAGCUGGAGAUGGAAACACCACCAUCGCGCAAGCUGCCAAAGACGACUGGCCAGAACGUGGAUGGCCAGCCGUCUUCGCAGAGCAAUGGUCGUGGGUCUGGCAAGUCGAACAAGCAUGAAAAGCUUGACUUUAACCUUCUCAGAAAACGGAAAUCAAAAUGA
rnacentral:rRNA from 1 species